ACGCUCGACACCUACGGGAUGCAGCAGUGAGGGAUAUUGGUCAAUGGGGGAAACCCUGAACCAGCAACGCCGCGUGAGGGAUGACGGUCUUCGGAUUGUAAACCUCUGUCCUCUGUGAAGAUAAUGACGGUAGCAGAGGAGGAAGCUCCGGCUAACUACGUGCCAGCAGCCGCGGUAAUCUGAGCGGGCUGGCAAGGC
rnacentral:rRNA from 1 species